ACGGUUACGAUUACCCCAAGAGUGCCCAAGGGAGAGGAAAGAGGUGUCAAACGCAUGCUGAGCCCCACUUCGGUAGUUUGGCACCCCCAUAGGCAUUCAGGCAAGCGUGCCUAUGGGUAAAGUCGGUUGAGCUUGUCAGCCAUGUUGGGUAUUAUUGUUUGGACGANAUGAUGGCACACGUCAAGCUUGCUUUAAGUUAACGUUCCGGCAYCACASCCAGCCCGCAAUUGCUAGUUCAAGCGGGUGGGAAUCUGCCUAUAUGGGGCUUUGCC
rnacentral:misc_RNA from 1 species